rnacentral:rRNA from 1 species
GACGAACGCUGGCGGCGUGCUUAACACAUGCAAGUCGAACGGAAAGGCCCUGCGUUUGUGGGGUGCUCGAGUGGCGAACGGGUGAGUAACACGUGAGUAACCUGCCCUUGACUUUGGGAUAACUUCAGGAAACUGGGGCUAAUACCGGAUAGGAGCUCCUGCUGCAUGGUGGGGGUUGGAAAGUUUCGGCGGUUGGGGAUGGACUCGCGGCUUAUCAGCUUGUUGGUGGGGUAGUGGCUUACCAAGGCUUUGACGGGUAGCCGGCCUGAGAGGGUGACCGGCCACAUUGGGACUGAGAUACGGCCCAGACUCCUACGGGAGGCAGCAGUGGGGAAUAUUGCACAAUGGGCGGAAGCCUGAUGCAGCAACGCCGCGUGCGGGAUGACGGCCUUCGGGUUGUAAACCGCUUUCGCCUGUGACGAAGAGUGAGUGACGGUAAUGGGUAAAGAAGCACCGGCUAACUACGUG